AUUGAACGCUGGCGGCAGGCCUAACACAUGCAAGUCGAACGAGUGGCGGACGGGUGAGUAAUGUCUGGGAAACUGCCUGAUGGAGGGGGAUAACUACUGGAAACGGUAGCUAAUACCGCAUACCAUCAGAUGUGCCCAGAUGGGAUUAGCUAGUAGGUGGGGUAAUGGCUCACCUAGGCGACGAUCCCUAGCUGGUCUGAGAGGAUGACCAGCCACACUGGAACUGAGAAACGGUCCAGACUCCUAUGGUAUGCAGCAGUGGGGAAUAGUGCACAAUGGGCGCAAGCCUGAUGCAGCCAUGCCGCGUGUGUGAAUAAGGCCCUCGGGUGGUAAAGCACUUUCAGCGGGGAGGCGUUACUGACAGAAGAAGCACCGGCUAACUCCGUGCCAGCAGCCGCGGUAAUUC
rnacentral:rRNA from 1 species